GUAGGUGGCAAGCGUUGUCCGGGAAUUAUUGGGGCGUAAAGCGCGCGCAGGCGGUCCUUUAAGUCUGAUGUGAAAGCCCACGGGCUCAACCGUGGGAGGGUCAUUGGAAACUGGGGGACUUGAGUGCAGAAGAGAAGAGUGGAAUUCCACGUGUAGCGGUGAAAUGCGUAGAGAUGUGGAGGAACACCAGUGGCGAAGGCGACUCUUUGGUCUGUAACUGACGCUGAGGCGCGAAAGCGUGGGGAGCAAACAGGAUUAGAUACCCUGGUAGUCCACGCCGUAAACGAUGAGUGCUAAGUGUUAGAGGGUUUCCGCCCUUUAGUGCUGCAGCAAACGCAUUAAGCACUCCGCCUGGGGAGUACGGCCGCAAAGGCUG
rnacentral:rRNA from 1 species